rnacentral:rRNA from 1 species
UUAAAAAGCUCGUAGUUGAACCUUGGGCCUGGCUGGCCGGUCCGCCUCACCACGUGUACUGGUCCGGCCGGGCCUUUCCCCCUGUGGAACCCCAUGCCCUUCACUGGGCGUGGCGGGAAAACAGGACUUUUACUUUGAAAAAAUUAGAGUGCUCCAGGCAGGCCUGUGCUCGAAUACAUUAGCAUGGAAUAAUAGAAUAGGACGUGUGGUUCUAUUUUGUUGGUUUCUAGGACCGCCGUAAUGAUUAAUAGGGACAGUCGGGGG